rnacentral:tmRNA from 1 species
GGGGGUGUAAAGGUUUCGACGGGGGUUUUGAAGCGGGAUAAGCGAGCCGCAGAUUGCCGAGUCUGCGUUAAAAUCGGCACGUUAAAUUACAAACGCCAAUCGUAAUAACAAUUUCGCACUGGCUGCUUAAGCGCCACCGCGCGUCGGCUUCCGUUCCCCUGUAGGCGGACAGACCCGGCGUCAUUUAUACAGGCAACUGGUUGGUAAGCUCCUGGUAGCCCGCCAGUAUCACAGGAUAGCAGAGACAGAAGCCUGCCGAUGGGCGUCUGUUGAAGCGAAACUUUAAACCACCGGAUGCGCUCGGAGAAAGUCCCAGUGGAUAGGCUUUCGGACGUGGGUUCGACUCCCACCACCUUCACCA